rnacentral:rRNA from 1 species
AUGGAUCUGAUUGACCGUCAUUGUGGCUGCUGGUUUGGCGACGUCAAGAGGUUCGAUGAUCGUGCAUGGCCUUCAACAAUUGACGAUGUGGGCGACUCCCGAUUCCUCGCGCGUGAGCACAUGGACCGUUUCUCGCAAGGAGCAAGCAGCACAUGUCCUGGUGGUGAACGUGGUAUGUGGAAUAUUGUAUGGCGUGCCUUGGUUCCUCCUAAGAUGAAAGUUUUUGCAUGGAAGGUAAUUACUGGUACACUAGCAACUAACUUAGAGAGGAAUCGGCGUCAUAUUGGUACAAGGGCAACAUGCGGAAUGUGUGGGCGAGAAGAUGAAUCGUCAUUUCAUGCUUUACUAGUCUGUCCCAACGCGGCAAGCUUAUGGGACGCAAUGAAGGACCGUUGGCCAUUGCCAAACAGGUAUGAUAUUGCAUGUACGGGUGAUGAAUGGUUUCUUCACUUGCUUGCUGGUCAGCAGAGCAAUGUCCGGGACAUGAUCAUUAUGGUGCUAUGGAGGGUUUGGCAUUUACGUAAUGAAGUCAUGCAUGCCAAACCUAUUCCACCGACGGAGGUGUCUUGUGAUUAUCUAUGCAGCUAUCUUAACUCUUUGCUACAAUUAGGCUGUAUGGGUGUGGAAGAGGUGAUCAAAGGUAAAGCUCCAAUCUUGAUGGAACCAGUGAUUGAAAAAACUCGGUCAUCAUUGUCAUGCCUUCCUUGGCCGGCUCCUCCGCUGGGCUGGAUAGCUCUUUCUGUUGAUGGUUCUUAUUGUGCGGAAGACGGAGCUGCAGGAUUAGGUAUGGUUUUAUGUGAUGACAAGGGUGGUGUUAUUUUUGCGGCCUACCGACGCAUUAUCACUGUAAUGAGGCGCUGGAAGCAGAGUUACAUGCGAUUAUGGAAGGAGGCUAGAUGGGGUGCCGAGGCGGCCGCAGCUCAUCGCCGGACUCGACUCGAACACGAAGCGGAUGGAUCGGUUGGUUUCUCGUCCGCUGACAAAGCCUCAACUUCAUGGGCCGUGCUUGAUGCCCGCGACUCCACGUUAGAAAGAGCAGCUCUUUCGGCUCAUGGCUUGUUGUUGGUGUGCAUAAAUGGGCCGCAUGGGUUGUCGCUGCUUGCUGGGCUACCUUGCAACGGGUAA